GAUCAGCCACACUGGAACUGACACACGGUCCAGACUCCUACGGGAGGCAGCAGUGAGGAAUUUUGCGCAAUGGGCGAAAGCCUGACGCAGCAACGCCGCGUGAGUGAUGAAGGCUUCGGGUCGUAAAGCUCUGUCAAGUGGGAGGAACCUAUAUAAUGUUAAUACCAUUAUAUACUGACGGUACCACUGAAGGAAGCACCGGCCAACUCCGUGCCAGCAGCCGCGGUAAUACGGGGGGUGCAAGCGUUAUUCGGAACAUUGGGCGUAAAGAGCACGUAGGCGACCUGGUAAGUCAGAUGUGAAAGCCCGGGGCUUAACCCCGGAAGUGCAUUUGAUACUGCCAGGCUUGAGUAUGGGAGAGGGAAGUGGAAUUCCUGGUGUAGAGGUGAAAUUCGUAGAUA
rnacentral:rRNA from 1 species